CCCUUAGAUGUCCUGGGCCGCACGCGCGUUACACUGAUGCAUUCAACGAGCUUAUAACCUUGGCCGAGAGGCCUGGGCAAUCUUGUUAACGUGCAUCGUGAUAGGGAUAGAUUAUUGAAAUUAUUAAUCUUGAACGAGGAAUCCCUAGUAAACGCAGAUCAUCAAUCUGCAUUGAUUACGUCCCUGCCCUUUGUACACACCGCCCGUCGCACCUACCGAUUGGAUGGUCCGGUGAAGCCUCGGGAUUGUGGUUCUUGCCGCUUUAUUGUGGCGUGACCGCGAGAACUUGUCUAAACCUUAUCAUUUAGAGGAAGGUGAAGUCGUAACA
rnacentral:rRNA from 1 species